AACGAACGCUGGCGGCAUGCCUAACACAUGCAAGUCGAACGAGACCUUCGGGUCUAGUGGCGCACGGGUGCGUAACGCGUGGGAACCUGCCCUUAGGUUCGGAAUAACUCCCCGAAAGGGGUGCUAAUACCGGAUAAUGUCUUCGGACCAAAGAUUUAUCGCCUUUGGAUGGGCCCGCGUUGGAUUAGCUAGUUGUUAGGGUAAAAGCCUACCAAGGCGACGAUCCAUAGCUGGUCUGAGAGGAUGAUCAGCCACACUGGGACUAAGAAACGGCCCAGACUCCUACGGGAGGCAGCAGUGGGGAAUAUUGGAAAAUGGGCGAAAGGCUGAUCCAGCAAUGACGCGUGAGUGAUGAAGGCCUUAGGGUUGUAAAGCUCUUUUACCCGGGAUGAUAAUGACAGUACCGGGAGAAUAAGCGCCGGCUAACUCCGUG
rnacentral:rRNA from 1 species